AUUCUCGAGACGCCUUGACCUAGACUGUUACAUUCUCGAGACGCCUUGACCUAGACUGUUACAUUCUCGAGACGCCUUGACCUAGACUGUUACAUUCUCGAGACGCCUUGACCUAGACUGUUACAUUCUCGAGACGCCUUGACCUAGACUGUUACAUUCUCGAGACGCCUUGACCUAGACUGUUACAUUCUCGAGACGCCUUGACCUAGACUGUUACAUUCUCGAGACGCCUUGACCUAGACUGUUACAUUCUCGAGACGCCCUUGACCUAGACUGUUACAUUCUCGAGACGCCUUGACCUAGACUGUUACAUUCUCGAGACGCCUUGACCUAGACUGUUACAUUCUCGAGACGCCUUGACCUAGACUGUUACAUUCUCGAGACGCCUUGACCUAGACUGUUACAUUCUCGAGACGCCUUGACCUAGACUGUUACAUUCUCGAGACGCCUUGACCUAGACUGUUACAUUCUCGAGACGCCUUGACCUAGACUGUUACAUUCUCGAGACGCCUUGACCUAGACUGUUACAUUCUCGAGACGCCUUGACCUAGACUGUUACAUUCUCGAGAAGCUUCAAGCCUGCAACGCUUCAUUCUCGAAAUG